rnacentral:rRNA from 1 species
GACGAACGCUGGCGGCGUGCUUAACACAUGCAAGUCGAACGAAGAGCGACGGAAGCUUGCUUCUAUCAAUCUUAGUGGCGCACGGGUGAGUAACGCGUAAUCAACCUGCCCUUCAGAGGGGGACAACAGUUGGAAACGACUGCUAAUACCGCAUACGAUCUAACCUCGGCAUCGAGUAUAGAUGAAAGGUGGUCUCUACAUGUAAGCUAUCACUGAAGGAGGGGUUUGCGUCUGAUUAGCUAGUUGGUGGGGUAACCGCCCACCAAGGCGAUGAUCAGUAGGCGGUCUGAGAGGAUGAACGGCCCACUUGGGACUGGGACACGGCCCAGGCUCCUACGGGAGGCAGCAGUGGGGAAUCUUCCGCAAUGGACGAAAGUCUGACGGAGCAACGCCGCGUGAGUGAUGACGGCCUUCGGGUUGUAAAGCUCUGUUAAUCGGGACGAAAGGCCUUCUUGCGAAUAGUGAGAAGGAUUGACGGUACCGGAAUAGAAAGCCACGGCUAACUACGUG